AUUGAACGCUGGCGGCAGGCCUAACACAUGCAAGUCGAACGGUAACAGGAAGACGCUUGCUUCUUUGCUGACGAGUGGCGGACGGGUGAGUAAUGUCUGGGAAACUGCCUGAUGGAGGGGGAUAACUACUGGAAACGGUAGCUAAUACCGCAUAACGUCGCAAGACCAAAGAGGGGGACCUUCGGGCCUCUUGCCAUCGGAUGUGCCCAGAUGGGAUUAGCUAGUAGGUGGGGUAACGGCUCACCUAGGCGACGAUCCCUAGCUAGUCUGAGAGGAUGACCAGCCACACUGGAACUGAGACACGGUCCAGACUCCUACGGGAGGCAGCAGUGGGGAAUAUUGCACAAUGGGCGCAAGCCUGAUGCAGCCAUGCCGCGUGUAUGAAGAAGGCCUUCGGGUUGUAAAGUACUUUCAGCGGGGAGGAAGGGAGUAAAGUUAAUACCUUUACUCAUUGACGUUACCCGCAGAAGAAGCACCGGCUAACUCCGUG
rnacentral:rRNA from 1 species